rnacentral:rRNA from 1 species
UCAUGGCUCAGGAUGAACGCUGGCGGCGUGCCUAACACAUGCAAGUCGAGCGAUUUACUUCGGUAAAGAGCGGCGGACGGGUGAGUAACGCGUGGGUAACCUGCCUCAUACACAUGGAUAACAUACCGAAAGGUAUGCUAAUACAGGAUAAUAUAAGAGAUUCACAUGGAUUUCUUAUCAAAGCUCCGGCGGUAUGAGAUGGACCCGCGUCUGAUUAGCUAGUUGGUAAGGUAAUGGCUUACCAAGGCGACGAUCAGUAGCCGACCUGAGAGGGUGAUCGGCCACAUUGGAACUGAGACACGGUCCAAACUCCUACGGGAGGCAGCAGUGGGGAAUAUUGCACAAUGGGCGAAAGCCUGAUGCCAGCAACGCCGCGUGAGUGAUGAAGGCCUUCGGGUCGUAAAACUCUGUCCUCAAGGAAGAUAAUGGCGGUACUUGAGGAGGAAGCCCCGGCUAACUACGUGCCAGCAGCCGC